rnacentral:tRNA from 2 species
GCCCAAAUGAUGGAAUGUAGGCAGACAUGGAGUUCUCAAACAACUCUGCGAAAGCGUAUGGGUUCGAAUCCCAUUUUGGGCA